AUCAACGCUGGCGGCGUGCCUAACACAUGCAAGUCGAACGAGAAAGUGGAGCAAUCCAUGAGUACAGUGGCGACCCGGGUGAGUAACACGUGACUAUACCUGCCCUCGAGUGGGGAAUAACUCCGGGAAACCGGAGCUAAUACCGCAUAACAUCGCAAGAUCAAAGCCGAAAGGCGCUUGAGGAGGGGGUCGCGGGCCUGAUUAGCUAGUGGUAGGGUAAUGGCCUACAAGGCAAAGAUCGGUAUCCGGCCUGAGAGGGGGGCGCACGGACACACUGGAACUGAAACACGGUUCCAGACUCCUAACGGGGAGUCAGCAGUUGGGGGAAUUUUGCGCAAUGGGGAAACCCGACGCAGCAACUCCGCGUUGGAGGAUGAAGGUCCCUUGGGGACGUAAACUCCUUUCGACCCGGGACGUAUACUGACGGUACGGGUGGAAGAAGCAACCGGCUAACUCUGUGCCAGCAGCCGCGGUAAUACAGAGGGUGCGAGCGUUGUUCGGAAUUAUUGGUGCGUAAAGGGCGCGUAGGCGGUGCGGUAAGUCACCUGUGAAAUCUCUCCCGGCUCAACCGGGAGCUUGCAGGCGAAACUGCCGUGCUGGAGUGUGGGAAGUAGGGUGCGUGGAAUUCCCGGUGUAGCGGUGGAACAUGCGUAGAUAUCGGGAGGAACACCUGUGGCGCGAACAGCGGCGCACUGGACCACAGCUGACGCUGAGCCCGUGGCGCGAAAGCUAGGGGAGCAAACAGGAUUAGAUUACCCUGGUAGUCCUAGCCCCUAAACUAUGGAUGCUUGGUGUGAUCGGUACCCAAUCCGAGUCGUGCCGAAGCUAACGCGAUAAGCAUCCCGCCUGGGGAAGUACGGUCGCAAGGCUGAAAACUCAAAGGAAUUGACGGGGGCCCGCACAAGCGGGUGGAGCAUGUGGUUCAAUUCGACGCAACGCGAAGAACCUUACCUGGGCUCGAAGCGGCAGUGGAAUCCGGUUGGAAACAUCGGCGCCCUCACGGGCCGCUGCGGAGGUGCUGCAUGGCUGUCGUCAGCUCGUGUCGUGAGAUGUUGGGUUAAGUCCCCGCAACGAGCGCAACCCUUAUCCCUAGUUUGCCAGCGAGUAAUGUUCGGGCACUCUAGUGAAACCGGCCCCGGAUAACGGGGAGGAAGGUGGGGGAUGACGUCAAGUCCUCAUGGCCUUUAUGUCCAGGGCCACACACGUGCUACAAUGGUCGGUACAAACCGUCGACAAAACCUGCAAAGGGGAGCUAAUUCGGAAAAAGCCGGCCUCAGUUCGGAUUGGGAGGUCUUGCAACCCGACUCCAUGAAGCUGGAAUCGCUAGUAAUCGCGGAUCAGAACGCCGCGGUGAAUACGUUCCCGGGCCUUGUACCACCUGCCCCGUCACAUCACGAAAGUGGACUGCACUAGAAGCCGGUGUGCCAACCGCAAGGAGGCAGCCGUCCAAGGUAUGGUUCAUGAUUGGGGGU
rnacentral:rRNA from 1 species